rnacentral:tRNA from 1 species
GGGCAUUUAGCUCAGCUGGUUAGAGCGCUACCUUGACAUGGUAGAGGUCACUGGUUCGAGUCCAGUAUUGCCCACAA